rnacentral:rRNA from 1 species
GACGAACGCUGGCGGCGUGCUUAACACAUGCAAGUCGAACGGAAAGGCCCUGCUUGCAGGGUACUCGAGUGGCGAACGGGUGAGUAACACGUGGGUGAUCUGCCCUGCACUUCGGGAUAAGCCUGAGAAACUGGGUCUAAUACCGGAUAGGAGCCAUUUUUAGUGUGAUGGUUGGAAAGUUUUUUCGGUGUAGGAUGAGCUCGCGGCCUAUCAGCUUGUUGGUGGGGUAAUGGCCUACCAAGGCGGCGACGGGUAGCCGGCCUGAGAGGGUGGACGGCCACAUUGGGACUGAGAUACGGCCCAGACUCCUACGGGAGGCAGCAGUGGGGAAUAUUGCACAAUGGGCGCAAGCCUGAUGCAGCGACGCCGCGUGGGGGAUGACGGCCUUCGGGUUGUAAACUCCUUUCGCUAGGGACGAAGCUUUUUGUGACGGUACCUAGAUAAGAAGCACCGGCUAACUACGUG